GGCUGGUCAGUGACUGUCGAAGAUACCAAAACUCUGUUUGUUAAUAUUGUCUGAGUACUAUAUAAUAGUUAAAACUUUCAACAACGGAUCUCUUGGUUCUGGCAUCGAUGAAGAACGCAGCGAAAUGCGAUAAGUAAUGUGAAUUGCAGAAUUCAGUGAAUCAUCGAAUCUUUGAACGCACAUUGCGCCCUCUGGUAUUCCGGGGGGCAUGCCUGUUCGAGCGUCAUUACAACCCUCAAGCUCUGCUUGGUAUUGGGCACUGCAGGUUUCUGCAGGCCUUAAAAUCAGUGGCGGUGCCAUUCGGCUUCAAGCGUAGUAAUUCUUCUCGCUUUGGAGACCCGAGUGGUUACUAGCCAGUAACCCCCAAUUUUUUCAGGUUGACCUCGGAUCAGGUAGGGAUACCCGCUGAACUUAAGCAUAUCAAU
rnacentral:rRNA from 1 species